GCCACCAGUGGGUCUCUGGAGGGGCCGCCACGCCUCAGCUGCUGUCCCUGCCCGCCGGCCCUGAGCUCCCAGGGCUCCCCGCUCUCACUGCCCCCUCUCCCUCUGCCCUCCCCACGCCCCCAGGGCCUGUGCACCUGCUCUUCCCUCUGGGGGAACACCCUGCCCUGAUCUCUGCGCCAGGCAGCCCACAAGCCUUUGCUCACAUGCCACCCCUUCGUGGAGCCCUCCUCACCCUCCCUUCUGAAGCUGCUGCCCCUUGGGCCUCCUCGCUGUGCUGGUCUGUCCAUCCCACCAACGCGUGAGCUCCAGGACCACCGCCUGGCCCGCCGCACUCAGAACACAGCCCGCACACGCCGGUGCCCAGGAAACAGUUGUUCGAUGAAUGAAUGAACUCCCUCUUAGGAAUUUGUUAGCAGCUGCUAGCCCCGCGCUGCCCCACAGGACUUCCCACAGGACCUGGGCGGCCAAUAUGGUGGCCACCGUGCCCUUGAAAUGUGGCUGGCGUGGCCUAGGAGCCGGUGUCUUUAUUAGACGUUAAUUAAUUUGGAAUUGAUUUAUGAAGCUGCGUGUGUCUAGUGUACCCACAGGACAGGAUGGCUAGAAAGGUCGGAUCUGGCUCAGUGGCUUCAAGCUUUAGUCACGUGAGGACAGCUCGUGGCUUCGUGGGGGAGUUCAGGACCCCUUCAGAUCCCUGCCCCUUUCUGGGUUAAACUGGCCGCGGAGGGAGGGAAGGGUGCCGUGUGGCAGGGCAGCGCGUGGCCCCGAGCCAGGACAGAGUGCACAGGAAGUGAACAGGUGAGCCAGCCCCGGGGGUUCUGGGCAUCAGCGCAUGGGUAACUUCUGUGUGGGGCAGGAAUGAGGCACGUGGAGGUGAUGGUGCCACAGCUCCAGAGCCUGGCUCAAGUCGCAUCACAGACCCCAUGUUCCCGCCCCCCCGCGGCUACAGGUGGCCGUGCCAGACCGUUCUGCCCAGUGAGAUGAAAGCAGACGUCUCAGUGUGGGGCUUUCAGGAAAGCUACGAUUAUGGACACGAGGUCCGGAGGGGUGGCAGCCGUCUUGUGGCCAUGAGGCAACACAAGGUCUGUACCCUAAGGACCGCCGAUGGAAAGUUAGGGCCUACCAGCCGCACGCUUUGUGAGAGGCCUGGAUCCCCAUCUGGUCCAGCCUCCCUUAGUGGGUUUUCCAUAACGGAGUUCUGAACAGAGGAAGCUAGACUAGGAAGUGGUGCUGGGACCUGCAGUGGCGGUUAACUGCGUUCUUGUUACCAAGGCACCGAGCGGUCACGAGACGGGCCCAAGGUCACACCGUGGCUUCAUGGGGGGAGGGGCAGGGAGCCAGAACUAUUGUGGGACCCCCCAAAGCUGCCUCUUCACCCAGAGUGGGGGAGCAGAGUCACAGGGCCUGAAUGUGGCUGUCACACCCAGAAUGUGCAUCUCCACCACUAAUCAUCUCAAUCAGCUUGGUUAAUUGGCACCCAAACAGAAACAGCAAACAUGAAGGGGAGGACCAGGUGUCAGUCUGCGGGCAGCUGCUGAGGGAGGAAGCUCAGGGGCAGGGGACACCCUGGGCCCCCCCAGAGCAGAGCUCCUCAGACGUCGGAGCCAGGGUCUGAAGGAUUUGCAGGUGACACAGCAGGGGCUUUCUGGGACAAAAAUAAUCCCUUGCUCGGGGAUGCAUCGUGGUGUGCGCAGAUGCCUUCAGCGUCCAAACUCAGGCUGGGUGGAGUGCGUCUCCAUGUGCCCUGACGAGUUCAGGUAGGAAAGACUUUCUGAGCAUGGCCCUCAGCUCCUGGUGACACUGUUUCAUCAGUAGCUGCCUUGACUGAGAGUGUGCCAUAAGCCCUCCGAAGGACAUGUCCUUCCCCACUUCCUUCCCCCAUCCAUUCGUUCACCCAUCCAUUUACCAUCCUCCCAUCGGCCCACCUAUCCAUCCAUCCAUCCGUCCAUCCGUCCACCUGUCCGUCCGUCCACCCACCCAUCCAUCUGCAUAGUCCAAACAACCAGCCUGACUAUCCAGGCACGGUGCAGAGCUGUACUAUGAAGAUGAGGCUGUCAAGUGGAGAGGUGAGUAAGCUCAGCCUCCUGGCCCAAGCCUCCAGACCAAAGCUGCCAGGGACCAGGCAUCCAGCCCCACAGGCAUCUCACCUGGUGCAAAUCCAUCAGGUGCCAAGCCACCAUCUUCCUUUUAGCAGUGCGAAAUUUCCCCCUCCAACAAACAACCACAGCUUCAUAUUCACUCAGGAGAAAACUGUGUGUAUGACUUUUACAGACUUUGCAUCUGAACCUAAUUUAAAAGAUUUACAAUCUGCUUGAUGCCCCUCCAGCCUGGGCCCGGAGCAGCCACGGGCUGAUGUCUCCCCCUUGUCACCCGGACCCCUUGCUCUGCAGGAGCAAUCCAGCUCCAGGGGCAGAAUGGACUGGGUUUAGUUUUGGAAAGGCAAGUCCCAUCUCCCGGAGCCCAGCUGGGCUCAAUUCAUACAUUUUUGACAAGAAAACGUCUCUCUGGGACGCUCUGUGUACACACACAUAUGCGUGCUCUGUUCCCGGUGCCAGACCCCAGAAACUUCCGAGCUGGGCUUUCAUUCCAAGCUCCUGCCAUUUGUUUCCCUUAACGUGUUGAACACCCUAAACAAACAGAAAGAAAGAAAUGGUUUCCUUGCUUCUAAACGAGUGGAUCUCAAAGUGUGAUCCCUGGACCAGCAGCAGCCUCACCUGGAGCACUCUGGUCGGCUGCUUUGAGACCUGGUGAAUCAGAAAGUCUGGGUGGGCUCAGGCCGGCGGUCUGUAGUUUGACAAGGCCUCCUGGGGAUUCUGAUGUCUGCGGAGCGUGGGGGCAGCUGUGCUAAUUGCGUCUCUCCCCUUCAUCCACCCUCGGAGCACCGUGGGCGUUGGGCACGAUCCUCUUGGGACACUACUUGAGGGUGGGGCUGCAUGUUCUUGCACAGUCUGUCCUCAAGCAGGGGUGAGGCUGUGCCUCCUGGGUCAUGCCCCCCCACCCCGGUCCAAGCCCCCUGUUAGCUGGAUGAAGUGACAAAGAAGGUAUCCAGUCAAUACCAGGGAUGCGGAGAUCUUCCCUGUCUCCCCCGAACACACAGAAACGGUAAGCACAUUAUCUAAAAGUUAAAAGCGUGUGUGGUUCCCCGCCACUCGGAAGGAGCGGGGGUGCGCUGGUGUGCGUGGGGAUGGAGCUCCGGGGUGCAGGCACCUGAGCCUCACGGACGGCUGGGGACUGAGUGCAGGGCCCCUGCAUGAGGCCUGGGGCUGGGCUGGCCGCCCCGACCGCGAACAGGGUGCAGCCAGACACAGUGGGACAGGAGGAAGCAGAGAUGCACGGCACCUGGAACCAGGCGACUCGUGUGACAGCCGGGGGGUCUCAGGGUGAAAGCUAAGCCACUCAGUUUCGAGCCAGGGUCUGGGGGGCCGGCACGUGGUAAUCUAAGGCUUCCAGCCAAGGACGGGUAAGCGUGAAGACAGGAUGCCCGUACAGAUGUACUGAAGACAUGAGGAAAACCCAACCCCAGACGCGUCAGCCACCAACCCAAGACGGGGUUUGGGAAGGAGAGGGAAAGGCAGAGAGGGACGUGCGCAGACCGUGAGGCCGCCCAGCGAGGAGGGAAGGAGCGAGAACCGCUCACAAGAAAGGGGAGAGGGUGAAUCAAAGCACGAAGGUCUAAGAGCAGCCACAGAUGAAAAAUACAAACAGAACAUGCCGUAAAUAUGAAACAUGCGCUCAUUGGAACUAAGAACCAAAGCUAAAGAAGGCUCGGGCAGCCUCUGGACACGGCUGAGGAGAGCCCCCAUUCCCUGGGACGUGGGGCUGAGAAGAUCAGCCAGAGCGCGGGGCUGAACGGGGCCAGGACGGGGCGCGGGAGGCCUGGGCGCGGGGACGUCCCACCAGCUCUGCGGCUGGAUGCCCAGGCCAUGAGGCCACGGGCCAAGAACCCGGCGUUCUCUGCAUUUGUGGAAAGACAUCAGCCUCGGUCGACACCGUCUACCAGGAUCUGAGGAGAAGACAGGAGGAAGGCACCGAUGCGAGGGGUUGGGGGCCCAGACGGUCCCCCCCCGCGGCCACUGCUGGUGGCGUGCUGACCCCGGCAAGUGACAUACAGACGGAGCAGGAGUUGCUUGAAUGUUUCCAAAGUCCACGUGAAAAGGGGAAACACAAGACAGCAGCUAAGAAAACCCUACGGUAACGACAGGGAAGGACGCGCUCGCCGACACCACCCGUCCUAUGACACGGGAGCGAGGGGACAGCUGUGUGCGCCCCCGUGGCACUCGGGUCGUGAGCAGGUGGCAACUCCCAUAAGCGGGGAAGGAUGGGGUAUUUGAUGAGUGGAGUGAGAAGCCUGGGCCUGCUAUUUUGGAACAACAGAAGGAAAGGUCACAACCUUCCCUGGAUAAAACAUCUGUCCCGCGCGGACUCAAGCCUUUACUGUGGAAAAGGGACUGCAGGUGUCAGAAGGAGCUACGGUCGAGCAGCUGCUCAGACGGGCCUCGCUGAGCGUGACGGCAAAGGCGCUGAGGACCGGGGACACGCGAGCGGACACGGGAAGCCUCUGUGACAGGCCAGCAGCUUAAGUGACAAACAGGAUGGCACCUGCAUCACACCCCACGGGGCCGGUGUCCCUAAAAUCCACCGGAAAACAAGGAACGCCAUCAGAAAAAACUGGCAAAGGAAGAAACAUACAGUUAACACACGUAUGAAAAACGUCCAUGCUCAUUAGCAGGUGAAAAAACGUAAACUAAGCCAACAGUCCUUUGUGUCUGCCACAUUUGCAAAAAAAGUAAAAACAUUUAUUUAAUUAGA